AUGUUGGUGAAGGGCAAUGUGAAUAGAUUUGGCCAUAUUGGAUGCCUGGAUACCAGGGAUGCUUGCUGCUCUGUCUCUGGUAAAAUGGAUAUUAUUGCCAUGAAUGAUCCCUUCAUUGAUCUCAACUACAUGGUCUACAUGUUCCUGUAUAACUCUCCCCAUGGCAAGUUCAAUGGCACAAUCAAGGCUGAGAAUUGGAAGCUUGUCAUCAACUUGAAGCCUAUCACCAUCCUCCAGAAGUAAGAUUCCACUAACACUAAAUAGGGUGAGGUUGGUGCUAAGUAUGCCCUGGAAUCUACUGGUGUUUCACCACCAGAGAGAAGGGUAGGCCAUUAUGCCAAUGACCCCAUGUUUGUGAUGGUUGCAAACAAUAAGAAAUAAUACAACUCAUUAAAGAUUGUUAGCAGUACCUCCUCCACCACCAACUGCUUAGCUUCCCUGGCCAAGGUCAUCCCUGACAACUUGGCAUCAUGGAAGGGCAGAUGACAUAGUCUAUGCCAUCACUUCCAUUCAGAAGUCUGUGAAUGGUUCUUCUGGAAAGCUGUGGCAUGACAGCCGUAUGGCUGUCCAGAACAUCAACCCUGCAUCUACUGGUGUUGCCAAGACCAUGGACAAGGUCAUCCCAGAGGUGAAUUGGAAGCUCACUGGCCUGGUCUACUAAGUUCCUACCCCCCAAUGUAUCUGUUGUGGAUCUGACAUGCAGCCUGGAGAAAUCUGGAAAGUAUGAUGACAUCAAGAGUUUGUGGAGCAGGCAGGCAAGGACCCAUUAAAGGGCAUGGUGGGCUACAACUGAGGACCAGGUUGUCUCCUAUGACUUCAGUAACUUCCACUCCUUCACCUUUGAUGCUUAGGAUGACAUUGCUCUAAAUUUCAUGUUUGUAAAACUCAUUUCCUGGUAUAAAAAUGAAUAUAGCUACAGCAACAGGAUGGUAGACUUCAUGUCCUAUAAAACCUCUAGGGAGUAA
rnacentral:lncRNA from 1 species